ensembl:snRNA U6 U6 spliceosomal RNA
UGUCUCACUUCAGUAGCUCAUACACUAAAAUUGGACCGAUGCAGAGAAGAUUGGCCUCUGUGCAAGGAUGUCACGCAUAUUCGUGAAGCAUCCCACGUUUUU